rfam:Pteropus alecto contig68472, whole genome shotgun sequence.
GUCUAUAGCCAUGCCACCCUGAACACUCCCGAUCUCAUCUGAUCUCGGAAGCUAAGCAGGGUCGGGCCUGGUUAGUACUUGGACGGGUGAUCACUUCAGAAUACCAGGUGCUGUAAGCA